rnacentral:lncRNA from 1 species
GGGUGCUCAAUGGGUUUUGUUGGAGGUAUAGAAAUGGAGGUUUACUGUAGGUUUAUGCAAUCUGCCAUUGCCCAUAGGAACUUCGGGCAGGCAUUUGGCUUUUUGCUAUUUAGAAGUACUACCCUAUUACAUGUAGUCAUAAUGGUUUCAGUGCACAUGUGUACAGCGCUGUAGCACAGCUACCACCCUAAAGCAAACUUCUAAAAGCUCAGAUUCCAUUUGGAGAGUACCAAUUAGUUAUCUGUGGGAAUACCUCAGCUACAGCUCACAUAUACUACUUUGUUCAUCAAACAUAGUUACAAGCUUUACUUAUUGGAUUUUAUCUUGCCCCUGGGUUCUAGGUAGAACUAGAAGGUGGUAUUAGUCUAGGUUUUGCAAGCUGGCCUUGGUUAACUUCCGGUAUUUUUUCACCAUGUCUGUAUACACUUACAGUGACAUCUACUGUUUCCCCACCAUAUUUGUUCUUGACAUAAAUGCUAUAUUUGCCCGAAUCUUCUGAGGUCACUCCUUUGAUUGUUAAACUGGCAUAUUUUCCUUGUUCCAGUGAAACCAAAUAGUGCUCAUUAAGCUCAAGGGCCUUGUCAUUCUUGAACCAAACCACUUCUGGGUCAGGGUUUCCAAACACAGUACAGGUCAGAUUCAGAGUCUUCCCAUCCAUUAUAGUUACAACAUCAGGCAAACCACCAAUGACUUUACCACGAUCUAGGAGUUGAAAAAAAAAAAAAAAAAAA